UACGUAGGUGGCAAGCGUUGUCCGGAAUUAUUGGGCGUAAAGCGCGCGCAGGCGGUCCCUUAAGUCUGAUGUGAAAGCCCACGGCUCAACCGUGGAGGGUCAUUGGAAACUGGGGGACUUGAGUGCAGAAGAGGAAAGUGGAAUUCCAUGUGUAGCGGUGAAAUGCGUAGAGAUGUGGAGGAACAUCAGUGGCGAAGGCGACUUUCUGGUCUGUAACUGACGCUGAGGCGCGAAAGCGUGGGGAGCAAACAGG
rnacentral:rRNA from 1 species